UACGUAGGGUGCAAGCGUUGUCCGGAAUUAUUGGGCGUAAAGAGCUCGUAGGCGGUUUGUCGCGUCUGGUGUGAAAACUCGAGGCUCAACCUCGAGCUUGCAUCGGGUACGGGCAGACUAGAGUGCGGUAGGGGAGACUGGAAUUCCUGGUGUAGCGGUGGAAUGCGCAGAUAUCAGGAGGAACACCGAUGGCGAAGGCAGGUCUCUGGGCCGCAACUGACGCUGAGGAGCGAAAGCAUGGGGAGCGAACAGG
rnacentral:rRNA from 1 species